ACACAUGCAAGGCGAACGGCAGCGCGGGCUUCUGCCUGUCGGCGAGUGGCGAACGGGUGAGUAAUACAUCGGAACGUGCCCUGUUGUGGGGGAUAACUAGUCGAAAGAUUACCUAAUACCGCAUACGACCUGAGGGUGAAAGCGGGGGACCGGUAACGGCCUCGCGCAAUAGGAGCGGCCGAUGUCUGAUUAGCUAGUUGGUGAGGUAAAGGCCUACCAAGGCGACGAUCAGUAUCUGGUCUGAGAGGACCAUCAGCCACACUGGGACUGAGACACGGCCCACACUCCUACCGGAGGCAGCAGUGGGGAAUUUUGGACAAUGGGGGCAACCCUGAUCCAGCAAUGCCGCGUGUGUGAAGAAGGCCUUCGGGUUGUAAAGCACUUUUGUCCGGAAAGAAAUCGCGCUGGCUAAUACCUGGCGUGGAUGACGGUACCGGAACAAUAAGCACCGGCUAACUACGUGCCAGCAGCCGCGGUAAUACUUAGGGUGCGAGCGGUACUCCGAAUUACUGGGCGUAAAGCGUGCCGCACGCGGCUUUGUAAGACAGGCGUGAAAUCCCCGGGCUUAACCUGGGAAUGGCGCUUGUGACUGCAAGGCUAGAGUGCGUCAAAGGGGGGUAGAAUUCCACGUGUAGCAGUGAAAUGCGUAGAGAUGUGGAGGAAUACCGAUGGCGAAGGCAGCCCCCUGGGACGAGACUGACGCUCAUGCACGAAAGCGUGGGGAGCAAACAGGAUUAGAUAUCCUGGUAGUCCACGCCCUAAUCGAUGUCAACUAGUUGUUGGGGAUUCAUUUCUUCAGUAACGUAUCUAACGCGUGAAGUUGACCGUCUGGGGAGUACGGUCGCAAGAUUAAAUCUCAAAGGAAUUGACGGGGACCCGCACAAGCGGUGGAUGAUGUGGAUUAAUUCGAUGCAACGCGAAAAACCUUACGUACCCUUGACAUGCCACUAACGAAGCAGAGAUGCAUCAGGUGCCCGAAAGGGAAAGUGGACACAGGUGCUGCAUUGGCUGUCGUCAGCUCGUGUCGUGAGAUGUUGGGUUAAGUCCCGCAACGAGCGCAACCUUUGUCUGUAGUUGGUACGCAAGGGCACUUUAGAGAGACUGCCGGUGACAAACCGGAGGAAGGUGGGGAUGGUGUCAAGUCCUCAUGGCCCUUAUGGGUAGGGCUUCACACGUCAUACAAUGGUGAGUACAGAGGGUUGCCAACCCGCGAGGGGGAGCUAAUCCCAGAAAACGCAUCGUAGUCCGGAUCGUAGUAUGCAACUCGCAUACGUGAAGCUGGAAUCUCUAGUAAUCGCGGAUCAGCAUGCCGCGGUGAAUACGUUCCCGGGUCUUGUACACACCGCCCGUCACACCAUGGGAGUGGGUUUUGCCAGAAGUAGUUAGCCUAAUCGCAAGGAGGGCGAUUACCUCGGCAGGGUUCAUG
rnacentral:rRNA from 1 species